rnacentral:rRNA from 1 species
UAACAACUCACCUGCCGAAUGAAUUAGCCCUGAAAAUGGAUGGCGCUCAAGCGGGCAGCCGACACUGCACCAUUUAAGCUAUUUAUGUCUUAAAUGAGUAGGAGGAACGUGGCGGUUGUACAGAAGCGUAUCCGCAAGGAUGCGUGGAACGGCCGCUAGUGCAGAUCUUGGUGGUAGUAGCAAAUAUUCAAAUGAGAUCCUUGAAGGACCAAGCGGGGAAGGGUUCCACACGAACAUUGCUUGAGUGUGGGUUAGUCGGUCCUAAGCCAUCUGGCAAUUGCUAGAUACUGGCGAAAGGGAAGCAGGUAAAGAUUCCUGCACCUAGGUAUAGAUGUUUACACGUCCGAGUUGUCUCAGAGAAGCUGUGGUUGUAGUCCCCUUGCAGAGAUUUCUUUUCUGUUUGACGCCAUUACGGUCCUGAAACCCAUUUGCUGGGAGUAGGGACCGAUUCCAUUGAUGGUAGAGCAUAGGAUUUCUUUCCUAUGUUUGGGUUGAUUCCUGCAGACCUUGAAAAUCUGAGCGCACCUGUAUUUGCUUUUAGCUUUGCAGGGGGCGAUUCUAUCCUAGCCCGUACCCAUGACCGCAUCAGGUCCCCAAGGUGAACAGCCUCUGUCCAAUAUGAAUAAU